rnacentral:rRNA from 1 species
CCCUUAGAUGUUCUGGGCCGCACGCGUGCUACACUGAGUGGAUCAGCGGGUCAGGUUGCGCGAAAGUGUUUCCUAAUCUUGAAAUCCGCUCGUGAUGGGGAUUGACGGUUGCAAUUUUCCGUCAUGAACGAGGAAUACCUUGUAAGCGCGGGUCAUCAUCCCGCGCUGAAUACGUCCCUGCCCUUUGUACACAUCGCCCGUCGCUCCUACCGAUUGAGUGGUCCGGUGAGGCUUUGGGAUCUGAGCGGAAAGAGCGUUUCGCUGUUUCUGCUCGGAAAACUCAGUCGAACCUUAUCAUUUAGAGGAAGGAGAAGUCGUAACA